rnacentral:rRNA from 2 species
UAGCCAUGCAUGUCUCAGUGCAAGCCACAUUAAGGUGAAACCGCGAAAGGCUCAUUAAAUCAGUUGUGGUUCCUUAGAUCGUACGUGGUUACUUGGAUAACUGUGGUAAUUCUAGAGCUAAUACAUGCCUAUAGAGUUCAGACCGUCGUUCCGCUCUCGGGCGGCGCGUGCGGUAGGGACGCUUUUAUUAGAUCAAAACCGGCCCGUCGCGGCGCGCUUCGCGCGCGUCUCGAUCGUGGCCCGCGCAAAGACCUGGUGACUCUGAAUAACUUUUAGCUGAUCGCACGGUCUCCGUACCGGCGACGCAUCUUUCAAAUGUCUGCCUUAUCAACUGUCGACGGUAGAUUCAAUGCCUACCGUGGUGGUAACGGGUAACGGGGAAUCAGGGUUCGAUUCCGGAGAGGGAGCCUGAGAAACGGCUACCACAUCCAAGGAAGGCAGCAGGCGCGCAAAUUACCCACUCCCGGAACGGGGAGGUAGUGACGAAAAAUAACGAUACGGGACUCAUCCGAGGCCCCGUAAUCGGAAUGAGAACACUUUAAAACCUUUAAACGAGGAUCAAUUGGAGGGCAAGUCUGGUGCCAGCAGCCGCGGUAAUUCCAGCUCCAAUAGCGUAUAUUAAAGUUGUUGCGGUUAAAAAGCUCGUAGUCGGAUCUGUGUCUGGGCGGUGUCGGACCACUCUCGCGGCCGGAGUGUCGCGUCGCGGGCGUUUCGGGGGACCACGCGUCUUUCCGGUGCGUCCGUUGCCGUGCUCGUCGGUCGUUUCGGGGUGUUAGUUACCGGCACGUCGGCCGGACGUAUUGUCGGCAGGCGGACACGUGUCCCGGAUCUUCGUACGUGCCGUACGACCACGCGUCGUGCGGUCGUCGGGGGACGGCGACGGCGGCCGCCUACUCCAAUCUUGCUGUGCGGUGCUCUUCACCGAGUGCCGUCGGCGGGCCGACACGUUUACUUUGAACAAAUUAGAGUGCUCAAAGCAGGCUAAAAUCUGGCGGUGCGGCCUCGCGGCCGUUCCGCCAAAAAGCCCUGAAUACUGGUCGCAUGGAAUAAUGGAACAAGACCUCGGUCCCGCGCAUCUCCGCCCUUCGCGGGCGCGCGAAACCGCCCCUCGGGGUGUUUCCGUGCGCGGGCCGCCGGGCCGUGCGGGUG